rnacentral:lncRNA from 1 species
GAUAAUAUUGUAUAUUCUUGAAACCGAGACGUGUGAGUUGUUAUUUGUUGGUCGGUUGCACAUUGAUAAUAAGUAAACGCACCAGUAACUUGGUGUUAUAAAACUUAUUGUUGUGUGUGAUUUGAUCAGUAAAUGCAAGCGAGCAUAUGAGUCGAAGUUUAUCCAUUCCUUUUACCCAAAGUAGGAUAAAACCGAUAUCUGUGGGCCUCUCAAUGAUUUAGUGAUGACACCUAAGCGCUNGGGCUAAGGAAUAAUCAUCAUGAUAGUGGGAGCAUAAGUGUUAUGCUUGUAUGAUUAUUAUGGCGAGUAUUGCAAGUUAGCAAUAUUAAUUAUAGAAAAACAAAGAUUCAAUUUGCAAAGUUGCAUGGGUUGAAAAGUUGUUUUAAUAUAAUUAAGGGAGAGAAUAUUAUACUUCGUUUCAAAAUCUAAAGCUUAGAUUGAGAAAUUUUAAUAGUUUCAGUCAUAGGAUACAUUGUGAGUUCCUAAAAAUUCGAUUAUGAUUACGACAUCCCUCUUCAUAGUUCGAAUUAUGAGAACAUGAAACAUAAAAUAUUAUGGCAAAAGAUUGGUAAAGUAUCAUAUCUUUAUGUGAGACCUUAUGCAUCGUGUCCCAUACACUUCGGGUAUAGGAUCGAUUGCGAAUGCUAUAAUAAUUUACCAUUCUAAAAUUUUUCCAAAUGUCUAGCGCAUUAAGAGGGAAAAAGGACUAGAAUUGGUUUUGACUAAAAUAAUUAAAACAACUAUCAAAGGACGAUCCAAAGUUCGCUGAGGAUUGGUCGCUUGUGAGUAGUUGGAAGUAUGGUAUUGGAUGGACCAUAUCAACAUUAUUAUGAAUAGAUAAGAUUCUAUUAAGAAUGAGUUGUCAUAUGGCAAAUGUGGAAAUGUUUCCAUAUUGGGAGUUGGAUAUUGAGAAUCUAUGUCUAGAUUAGAAACUUUUAUGCAAGAAGGAUGUUCAAAGGAAUGUACUUUGAAUGUGAGACUUCACGUCUAUAGAAUUGUCUUGUAACAAUUUCUAAGAAAGUACUUUGUAAUUUCAUUGGCAAAGUUUUGGUGACUUUUGUGCUAUGACUUUACGAAAGGAUCGUUGCGUAAAAAAAUGUUAGAAUCUAGCAUAUUCUAGUAGUGGCAAGAACCUUGUAUUCUUACACUAACAAUGGGGAUUAAGUAAUUGUGAAAUGAGCAUCAUUGAAAAGGUUUUUCAAUUGAUCCAUUUCACAAAGCAUGGACCAUAGGAAACAAAGUGUGCAUGCUUGGAGCAUGGGACAAUUGUUGUUGUAAUUCAAGUAAUAAGUUGAUUAUCCAAAACAUUAAAUGAUAAAUAAUGAGUAAUCAAUAUGGUGGAUAAAUAGAAGUGUUUUAUUUACUCUCACAAGUUUGGGGCCAUAUAGGAUUAAGUAUUAUUGUUAUGUUUCAGUUUGCAUGUUUUGACUUCCAGAAUAACUAGGUUAUUCAAACAUCCACAGUCGGUCAUACGUUGGGAGUAGGUAUGAAUAAAGACUGUCAUGAAUCUGUCUGUAGAUUGUCUGAAGUGUUUAGACAUAGCACAAGUUUGCUGCAGAGUUCAUGAGUGCUUUGAUAAGAUUAGAGUAUUGGAUUAAACCCACGCUCACUUGGAUCACUUCAUGGUUUUAUCACGAGUGAUUAGUGAGACGAUAAUAUUGUAUAUUCUUGAAACCGAGACGUGUGAGUUGUUAUUUGUUGGUCGGUUGCACAUUGAUAAUAAGUAAACGCACCAGUAACUUGGUGUUAUAAAACUUAUUGUUGUGUGUGAUUCGAUCAGUAAAUGCAAGCGAGCAUUUGAGUCGAAGUUUAUCCAUUCCUUUUACCCAAAGUGGGAUAAAAGCGAUAUAUGUGGGCCUCUCGAUGAUUUAGUGAUGACACCUAAGCGCUUGGCCAAGCCGGGACUAAGUUGAUGUGUUCAAUUGUAGUCUGUUAUCAGUCGUCAUAAAUCGGAAGUCGGGAAACAGUAUAGAGAGAAUGAUUGAAAUUCAUGUCUUUUGUCUAUACGAUAUCUUGAGAAUGGAGGAAUAUAUAAUCCCUUAUCUAGAGGACACGCUAUCUGAUAAGAUCAGAGUUGACAGCGGCUUUUGAAAGCUACGAUUGCUGAUCAGGUUCUGAAGUCAUACGGAAAAUAGUUAUUAGACUUAUCCAAGUGGGAGACUGUUGGAUUAGUGUCUAAGUCCAUAACUAUUUUGGUAUGUACUUGACCCGAUUAUGAGCAUGGUCCUUUUGGGUUGCCUUCAC